GACGAACGCUGGCGGCGUGCUUAACACAUGCAAGUCGAACGCUGAAGGCCUGGCUUUUGUUGGGUUGGAUGAGUGGCGAACGGGUGAGUAACACGUGAGUAACCUGCCCUCUUCUUUGGGAUAACGCCCGGAAACGGGUGCUAAUACUGGAUAUUCACUGAUCUUCGCAUGGGGGUUGGUGGAAAGGUUUGUUCUGGUGGGGGAUGGGCUCGCGGCCUAUCAGCUUGUUGGUGGGGUGAUGGCCUACCAAGGCUUUGACGGGUAGCCGGCCUGAGAGGGUGACCGGUCACAUUGGGACUGAGAUACGGCCCAGACUCCUACGGGAGGCAGCAGUGGGGAAUAUAGCACAAUGGGCGAAAGCCUGAUGCAGCGACGCCGCGUGAGGGAUGGAGGCCUUCGGGUUGUAAACCUCUUUCGCUCAUGGUCAAGCCGCAACUGUGGGUUGUGGUGAGGGUAGUGGGUAAAGAAGCGCCGGCUAACUACGUG
rnacentral:rRNA from 1 species